rnacentral:rRNA from 1 species
GAUGAAUGCUGGCGGCGUGCCUAAUACAUGCAAGUCGAGCGGUAGCAGGGCUUCACCGUGUUCUUGAUGCUCCGGGCUGUUUUUAUAGCGGGAGUUCAUUUCGAGAACGCAGUGAAGCUGCUGACGAGCGGCGGACGGCUGAGUAACGCGUGGGAACAUACCCCAAACUGAGGGAUAACUACUCGAAAGAGUGGCUAAUACCGCAUGUGAUCUUCGGAUUAAAGGAUUUAUCCGGUUUGGGAAUGGCCUGCGUACGAUUAGAUAGUUGGCGAGGUAAAGGCUCACCAAGUCGACGAUCGUUAGAUGGUUUGAGAGGAUGAUCAUCCAGACUGGGACUGAGACACGGCCCAG